AACGAACGCUGGCGGCAGGCUUAACACAUGCAAGUCGAGCGCCCCGCAAGGGGAGCGGCAGACGGGUGAGUAACGCGUGGGAAUCUACCCAUCCCUACGGAAUAGCUCCGGGAAACUGGAAUUAAUACCGUAUACGCCCUACGGGGGAAAGAUUUAUCGGGGAUGGAUGAGCCCGCGUUGGAUUAGCUAGUUGGUGGGGUAAAGGCCUACCAAGGCGACGAUCCAUAGCUGGUCCGAGAGGAUGAUCAGCCACAUUGGGACUGAGACACGGCCCAAACUCCUAGGGGAGGCAGCAGUGGGGAAUAUUGGACAAUGGGCGCAAGCCUGAUCCAGCCAUGCCGCGUGAGUGAUGAAGGCCUUAGGGUUGUAAAAUCCUUUCACCGGUGAAGAUAAUGACUGUAGCCGGAGAAGAAGCCCCGGCUAACUUCGUGCCAGCCGCCGCAGUAACAC
rnacentral:rRNA from 1 species